rnacentral:rRNA from 1 species
AGAGAGAGACAUGCGCGCAUAUCAAUAAGCGGAGGAAAAGAAACUAACAAGGAUUCCCUUAGUAACGUCGAGUGAAGCGGGAAGAGCUCAAAUUUGAAAUCUUCAAGGUUUUACCUUGACGAAUUGUAGUUUAAAGAAGUGUUUUCUGCUGAAGUUUUGGUAAAAGUUCUUUGGAAUAGGACAUCAUCGAGGGUGAGAAUCCCGUAUUUGACCAUUAUUUUCAGCUUUGUGAUACACUUUCAAGGAGUCGGAUUGUUUGGGAAUGCAGUCCAAAAUGGGUGGUAAAUUUCAUCUAAAGCUAAAUAUUGGCGAGAGACCGAUAGCGAACAAGUACCGUGAGGGAAAGAUGAAAAGAACUUUGAAAAGAGAGUUAAACAGUACGUGAAAUUGUCAAAAGGGAAGCGUUUGACACCAGUGUCGUUUUCUCGAAAAUCAAUUAAAAAUGGCUCGAUUUUGUAUUGCUUGAGACCUUAAAAGCUCACUGUACAUUUUUCGUGUCUUUUUUAAUGCACUUUUCGUUUAACAAGUCAACAUCAGUUUCUUUUGUUGUAAAAGGGUCAUUGGAAGGUGGCUUUCUUCUCGGAGAAAGUGUUUAUAGCCUUUGGCCUCUGCAAUCGGAGAGACUGAGGUCUGCAGCGUAGACUCUUCGGGGUUAGAUACAUUUGUGCUAAGUUAUAGUUUUUCAUAGACAACAUUGUUGACUAUAAUUAGUCAUGUAGCUUACUCGCUUAUGCUAUUUUACCUACGCUUAGGAUGUUGAAGUCAUCGUAUCGCGC